GGCUUGCCUCCUAGCGUCUGGUCACGGAAUGCCAAGACAGAGAAGGAAGCUGUUGGCCUUUCAGUGCGGCGGGCCGUCGAAGGACUUAUAUAAAGCGCCCCCUAUCUUGCCACGACCACAAUUUGCGUCGGGACCCAUGGGUUGAGAUUUGCUGCGCUGUGCGGGUAUAUACAGAAAACCCUGUGACGUAAAGGAGUGCAGCGCGCAGGUUUGGAGCUGGUACAAUCUCGAAGAGCCUUCUCUCCCAAACAUCCCCAGUCUCUCCCAAUCAUCCACAGUCUCUCCCACUCUCCCCCAGUCGCUCCCAGUGCUAAAUUACAAUGAGAUCCCCAGUGGUGCGUAUCCUGAUUCCUGUUCAUCUCCCUCCCGCCAUGUUUACGACAGAAUAGCCGUCUUUGUUUUUUACAACCUUUCAUUAAGGCUUGUUUUUUGCCUCUUAAUGUUUACUGCCCCCCUAGGACAAAUUCUUACAGUAUGACAGUCCCUUAUUAGAAUAAAUGUGCUGAAAUGUCUUGCCCUCUACAUGUGUUAUCUGCUUACAUGACACUGCUAAAUGCCCUCUUUUUACCAAUAAGGAGAGUUCCUCCGGCAAGCUAGCCUGUUAGCACAUUUUAGCAUGCAUUUACUGGCUCUCACUCUAACA